rnacentral:rRNA from 1 species
CAAACCAAAGCUGGCGACCGGCACACGGGUGAGUAACACGUAUCCAACCUGCCUCAUACUCGGGGAUAGCCUUUCGAAAGAAAGAUUAAUAUCCGAUAGCAUAUAUUUCCCGCAUGGGUUUUAUAUUAAAGAAAUUCGGUAUGAGAUGGGGAUGCGUUCCAUUAGUUUGUUGGGGGGGUAACGGCCCACCAAGACUACGAUGGAUAGGGGUUCUGAGAGGAAGGCCCCCACAUUGGAACUGAGACACGGUCCAA